UACGUAGGGUGCGAGCGUUGUCCGGAAUUAUUGGGCGUAAAGAGCUCGUAGGCGGUGUGUCACGUCGGCCGUGAAAACCUGGGGCUUAACUCUGGGCGUGCGGUCGAUACGGGCAUCACUAGAGUUCGGCAGGGGAGACUGGAAUUCCUGGUGUAGCGGUGAAAUGCGCAGAUAUCAGGAGGAACACCGGUGGCGAAGGCGGAUCUCUGGGCCAGUACUGACGCUGAGGAGCGAAAGCGUGGGGAGCGAACAGG
rnacentral:rRNA from 1 species